rnacentral:rRNA from 1 species
UACGGGGGGAGCAAGCGUUGUUCGGAUUUACUGGGCGUAAAGGGCGCGUAGGCGGCCAGCACAAGUCAGUUGUGAAAUCUCCGAGCUUAACUCGGAAAGGUCAACUGAUACUGUGCGGCUAGAGCGCGGAAGGGGCAACUGGAAUUCUUGGCGUAGCGGUGAAAUGCGUAGAUAUCAAGAGGAACACCUGCGGCGAAGGCGGGUUGCUGGGCCGACACUGACGCUGAGGCGCGAAAGCCAGGGGAGCGAACGGG